rnacentral:lncRNA from 1 species
CCUCUGUCCGUGGUAGAUGUCCUGUUCUUCUUCCUGUUUUACAUAGGUUUCAUUGAGGAUGACGCCAAUCCCGCUCCUGCUCAAGAAACACCACAGAGAAGCAGCUUUGCAGAGUCUCUCCAGUGAGCGAUAUUCAUGAUGAAGCAGUACUGUGGGCACCAGAGUAUGAGCUCAGCCCUAGCCCUCAAGGGACUCACCCACAUGGUGGGAAGUGGGGGCAAGAAAAUGUACGUCAGCUACAACACAAGAUCCAAAGUUUCAAGUGUCCAGAGUCAGGUACAAAGUACUAGAGGAAGCCAGACACAAUGACACACGCCUGUAAUCCCAAUAGCUCAGGAGACUGAGGCAGGAGGAUCUCAAGUUCAAAGAUAGCCAUAGCAACUUAGCAAGGUCCUAAGCAACUCAGUGAGAACCUGUCUCUAAAUAAAAUACAAACCAAAAAAAAAAGGGCUGGGUUGUGGCUCAGUGGUUAGGUGACCCUGAGUUCAGUCCCAGUACCAAAGAAAAAAGAAAAAAAGAAAGUACUAGAGGAGCUCCAAUAGGAACAACAGGAAGAACUGAGUCCAUGCUUCUGGAAAGGAGAGCAGUGUGGGAUGAGAACAUAAGCCCAGAACACACUCUUCCUGAAUCCCUGUAAGUAAAGUUUCUUCUUUGGAAACUGGAAGCUAGAGGCAGAGCCUGAGAGUUACCACUCAAGCCCAUCUGGUGAUGUUAACAGAUGUCUUGGGGCAGGGAGCACUCUGAAGUUUGGACAGAUUUCCUUUCUGGAGGGAACUGUAGAUCUCUAUGUCCCCUGGGGUCUCAGUGCCAGAGCCUUGCCAGUGUUGUAGAAAAUUAACACAAGCCCAAACUCUCUUCUAGCAGUUCUGUAAUAGUUCAGGGUCAACUUGGCUAAGCCAAAGUACCCAGUUGUUUGCUCAAACAUCAGUUUAGAUGUGGCUAUGAAGGAUUUUUUUAGAUGUGGUUACCAUUUAAAUAAGAUUCCUUGAGUAAAGCAGAUCACCCUUUAAAAUGUGACUGGGCCUCAUCCAAGCAGUCAAAGGCCUUAAGAGAAAAAAGCUGGGGCCUCUCAAAGAAGAAAGAAUUUUGUCCCUACACCACCUUUAUACUUGAAACUGUGACAUUAGCUCUUUUUUUGGGUCUUCAGACUGUCAGCCUACAUGCAGAUUUUGGACUUGCCAGCCCCACAACUGCAUUAGCCAUUUCUUAACAAAUAUAGAUAUAUAUGGGGGAUGUACAUGUAUUUAUAUUAAAGAAUAAAAUUUUACUGUAAGAAAUUUUAUUCUCUGACUAUAGAAGAACAGAUAUGUGUGUGUGUUUCUACAUACAUGGAGGCAGAGAGACUCAUCCUACUGAUUGUUUCUCUGGAGAACCCUAAUACAGGAUCCUAGAAAAAGAACAAGGGCAAGGAAAGUCUAAAGGCGGCUUCAGAGGGCUGAGGGGGAAGGAGAAAAUCCAGAGGGAGAGCAGAAUCUAGUGGCUAUAAGAGGCAUUUGUCCAAUGACCACAUCCUGAGAAGUCAUGUUGGUAGAUGACAAAGAGCGCAGCAAAAGAGUCAUUCUUUACCCACAUAAAAGUGUUUGUGCGGCUCCCCCUUCUUGAAUUUUUUUUGAAAUUUGCAUUCAAUAGUUUUAAUUAUGUUUUACUAUUUAGCUUUUUCUUAAUUUCAAAAUGAUUCUGAGGAGUUGGGCUUCCUUGAGAGAGGUAGCACAGCACUGUGGUCAAGAAGAGCGCAGGCUGAGAAGUUCACGGCCACUUCCCAGCUGUAUUGGACAGCAUGCUACAAACCUUAUGUGCCUUUCCCCUCAUGUGCAAAAUGG